rnacentral:rRNA from 1 species
GACGAACGCUGGCGGCGUGCUUAACACAUGCAAGUCGAACGGAAAGGCCCUGCUUUUGUGGGGUGCUCGAGUGGCGAACGGGUGAGUAACACGUGAGUAACCUGCCCUUGACUUUGGGAUAACUUCAGGAAACUGGGGCUAAUACCGGAUAGGAGCUCCUGCUGCAUGGUGGGGGUUGGAAAGUUUCGGCGGUUGGGGCUGGACUCGCGGCUUAUCAGCUUGUUGGUGGGGUAGUGGCUUACCAAGGCUUUGACGGGUAGCCGGCCUGAGAGGGUGAACGGCCACAUUGGGACUGAGAUACGGACCAGACUCCUACGGGAGGCAGCAGUGGGGAAUAUUGCACAAUGGGCGGAAGCCUGAUGCAGCAACGCCGCGUGCGGGAUGACGGCCUUCGGGUUGUAAACCGCUUUCGCCUGUGACGAAGCGUGAGUGACGGUAAUGGGUAAAGAAGCACCGGCUAACUACGUG